rfam:Dipodomys ordii contig_20504, whole genome shotgun sequence.
GGGAAGAUGGCUCAGUGGCAGAGUGCUUGCCUUGCAUGCAUGAGGCCCUGGGUUCAAUUCCUCAGCACCCA